rnacentral:rRNA from 1 species
AGUGAACGCUGGCGGUAGGCCUAACACAUGCAAGUCGAACGGCAGCACAGAGGAGCUUGCUCCUUGGGUGGCGAGUGGCGGACGGGUGAGGAAUACAUCGGAAUCUACUCUGUCGUGGGGGAUAACGUAGGGAAACUUACGCUAAUACCGCAUACGACCUACGGGUGAAAGCAGGGGACCUUCGGGCCUUGCGCGAUGGAAUGAGCCGAUGUCGGAUUAGCUAGUUGGCGGGGUAAAGGCCCACCAAGGCGACGAUCCGUAGCUGGUCUGAGAGGAUGAUCAGCCACACUGGAACUGAGACACGGUCCAGACUCCUACGGGAGGCAGCAGUGGGGAAUAUUGGACAAUGGGCGCAAGCCUGAUCCAGCCAUACCGCGUGGGUGAAGAAGGCCCUCGGGUUGUAAAGCCCUUUUGUUGGGAAAGAAAUCCAGCUGGCUAAUACCCGGUUGGGAUGACGGUACCCAAAGAAUAAGCACCGGCUAACUUCGUGCCAGCCGCCGCAGUAA